AGUGACUUCUGGUUUACGGGCGCACAUGAGUUGGUUGAACAAAUUCAAAUGAAUCGUCUCGUUUAGUCGUAGCUACUUGUCUUCCUACAAACAGCUAUUCAAAAUGAACAUAUCAGAAAAUGGAGCAGUAGGCGAUGCCAUUACAGUGCACGAUUUCUCAGAGAAGAUUCUGGCGCAAACGGUUCACUUUCACGUCAUGAAACUCAAUGUUUUUUUUCUUCCUUUGGGUCGGCUCGAACCCCGUCUUGUCCAACUUGGCUGUUUCAAUGGAAAGUAAAUUUGAUUCGAUGCCGCUGUCUACCUUAGUCCUGGGGGACCCAUCUGAAACCACCUAGAAUUCACUGGCGCAGAGAUUGACUAAGAGGACUAAGAAACAGGUGUUUGUGAGCUACAAUCUGCGCAUGACCGACUCCAACCUGUCUCUGCUGGUGGAGAAUAGGAUAAAGAAGGAGAUGGAAGUUCAYACUGAUACAUUUUUCUCUUUGCCCCCAUUUAUAUUGACUUUAUACCGAAAUAAUACAAUGGAGAGAACAACAUUACCUACCUGUCUAGACUGUUUGUCACUAGCUGUUUUAGCACUUUUGCUUGAGAUCUAACCAGAGACUGUCUCUGUUUAGAGGCUGCAGACGCACACAACAUUUCCUGUGCCCACUGCCCACCCACAAACUGAGUCUUACAGACAUCACAUGUAUCACCUCGAUAGUGUUCAUUUAUUGACCAACAAUACAUUAAGUGGUUUAUUAUCAAAACAACAUUUAUGGUUUUAAUAUGUACAAGUGCAUCAUAUAACAAAAAACAUUUAGAAAAUAUUAGUGGUUGACAAUCACUCAUGGAAUUUCACUUAUUUUACCACAAAAUUUCAUUGAUAAACAUUUACAAACUACCAAAUAAACAAUACAAGGUGUC